UUCUAACCGUAAACGAUGACAACCAGCGAUUAGUCGGCGUUAAUAUAUGACCCGACUAGCAGCUUCCGGGAAACCAAAGUUUUUCGUUUCCGGGGGAAGUAUGGUUGCAAAGCUGAAACUUAAAGGAAUUGACGGAAGGGCACCACCAGGAGUGGAGCCUGCGGCUUAAUUUGACUCAACACGGGAAAACUCACCCGGCCCGGACACCGUAAGGAUUGACAGACUGAGAGCUCUUUCUUAAUUCGGUGGGUGGUGGUGCAUGGCCGUUCUUAGUUGGUGGAGCGAUUUGUCUGGUUAAUUCCGAUAACGAACGAGACUCUGGCCUAUUAAAUAGACGAUAUAUUUUCUAGUAUAUCGCGCUUCUUAGAGGGACAAGCGGCGUCUAGCCGCAUGAAAUAGAGCAAUAACAGGUCUGUGAUGCCCUUAGAUGUCCGGGGCUGCACGCGCGCUACACUGAAAGAAUCAGAGUGCGUUUUGCCUAGUCCGGAAGGACCGGGUAACCCAAGUAAAUUCUUUCGUGCUUGGGAUAGGGAAUUGCAAUUAUUUCCCUUAAACGAGGAAUUCCCAGUAAAUGCGGGUCAUAAGCUCGCGUUG
rnacentral:rRNA from 1 species